rnacentral:lncRNA from 1 species
AUGCCUUUAAAGGCUCAGAGUAUUGCUUCCUGUGUUUUCAGCAGGAUCUGCUUUCGGUUGGGUGAGGGGAACCCAAUAGAAUCCCCUGCUGUCCUCCCAGGCCCCCUUGAGCCCCCUAAUCCCUUCUGUACCCCUUCCCCAGUCCCAGUCUUCUGUGGCUGGCAGACUCCUCCCCUGUUGCAAGAUCCUCACUGGUUGUUUCUGUCCUCUGUCCAGCCCUGUUGUUGUCAUGAUGAUGUGCUUGCAGCGCUGGUCUGGAGAAAGCAGGCGGCAGGGAGAGGCUCCAAGCCUCAAAUGUCGUGUGUCUGCUCCUGGGGUACCUGCUGGCCCUGAAUCAAGCCUCUGCAUCCCUGGGACUCCAGGAACUUUGGGAUCCAGAGAAGCAAGCUCUUUUAUCCCAGGACCCAUGACUGCCCAAGCUGUGAGCUUCCUGAGGGCAGGGACCCUGUUCUCUCUCCCAGAGCCAGGGCUCCAUGUUGGAACUGGCCCUGACAGCGUCUGUUAAACCUCCACGAAACGACGUUCCUGAACUUGAAGCCAUAGGACAGGACUCUGAAGAUCACCAAAUCACAUCGUGAGAAAACAAAGCCCUUUUCAGCUCUGCACCGGUCCUUCUCGUGACAGCAAGGAGAACGUGUCGGGCUGGCUGGAGGAUGUCUUUAACACUCACCCCUCUCACCCUCGCCCACCUCCACAUAGAACCAAGAACACGCAGGUCCUAGACUCAGACUCUGGUGGAUGAAUGUGUGUAGCAAAAGUGACCGCAUUGCUUUAUUUUAGAAUUAUCUCCAAUUUAUACCAGGUGAUACUGGUUUUCCACUUGUAAUAGCAAUGUUAUUUUUCUGAAGUUUGUUUUUAAUUUUAAUUCACUUUCAGACAUACAGUAAAAUUGCAAGCAUAAUAGAGUUCCUGUACCUUUCACCCAGGUUCACUUAGUGUUAAUAUCCUUCCCUCUCUCUCUGCCUCUUCCCCUACCUUCCCCACCAAACUACCUACCUACCUACACACACACACACACACACGCACACGCAUGCACGCAUGCACAAUUUUUUUCUGAACUAUUUAAAAGUAUGCUGUUCUUUCGCCUCUUUUUUGCAAUGGAGUUUCAUUCUUGUCACCCAGGCGUGCAAUGGUAUGGUCUUGGCUCACUGCAACCUCCGCCUCCCAGGUUCAAGCUAUUCUCUUACCUCAGUCUCCCAAAGUGCUGGGAUUACAGACACCUGCCACCAUGCCUGGCUAAUUUUUGUAUUUUUUGUAGAGACGGGGUUUCACCAUGUUGGCCAGGCUGGUCUUGAACUCCUGACCUCAGGUGAUCCACCCUCCUUGGCUUUUUAAAGUGCUGGGAUUACAGGCCUGAGCCACCGCGCCUGGCCUCCUUUACCUCUAAAUGUGUCAGUACUCCACUGUAUACUUCCUAAAGGCGAGACUAUUUUGUUACAGAAGCAUAAUACCCUUUUCGGAAUCAGGGAACUAACCCUGAUGUCUCGCUGUAAUUGCUGGGUCUCCUUCCUGUUUCACUGCCUGUCCCGGUAAUGUCCUUUACGGCAAAAACAAAAACAAAAAACCAAAAAACACCCCAGCCCAUGUCUUGCAUGUGGUCGGGAUGUCGCUUUGACACUUUUCGUCUGAAACAGUUCUUGAGUCUUGUAUCGUGUGACAUUGGCAUUUUUGAAAAGUAGCUGCCAGGUACUAAAGAUUUGUAAGAUGUCUAAAGAUUCCUUUUUAAAUAAAUUUAAGUUUUAAAGAGGUGAGUCCGCUUAAAGAAAAACUACCAAGUGACCCAAAGAACAAAUGGUCUGC